UGGGGAAUAUUGGGCAAUGGGCGCAAGCCUGACCCAGCGACGCCGCGUGAGGGAAGAAGGUCUUCGGAUCGUAAACCUCUGUCAGGAGGGAAGAAGUGCCAUAUUUCGAACAGAGGUAUGGUUUGACGGUACCUCCAGAGGAAGCACCGGCUAACUCCGUGCCAGCAGCCGCGGUAACACGGAGGGUGCAAGCGUUAUUCGGAAUUACUGGGCGUAAAGCGCGCGUAGGCGGUUUUUCAAGUCAGAUGUGAAAUCCCUCGGCUCAACCGAGGAAUUGCAUUUGAAACUGUUGAACUGGAGUUCGGGAGAGGGUGGCGGAAUUCCCGGUGUAGGAGUGAAAUCCGUAGAUAUCGGGAGGAACACCAGAGGCGAAGGCGGCCACCUGGACCGAAACUGACGCUGAGGUGCGAAAGCGUGGGGAGCAAACA
rnacentral:rRNA from 1 species